rnacentral:rRNA from 1 species
GGAGUUAGCCGGUGCUUCUUCUGUGAGUGAUGUCCUUCCUGCCGGCUAUUAACCCGCAGGCCUUCUUCCUCACUGAAAGUGCUUUACAACCCGAAGGCCUUCUUCACACACGCGGCAUGGCUGGAUCAGGGUUGCCCCCAUUGUCCAAUAUUCCCCACUGCUGCCUCCCGUAGGAGUCUGGGCCGUGUCUCAGUCCCAGUGUGGCUGAUCAUCCUCUCAGACCAGCUACGGAUCGUCGCCUUGGUGAGCCGUUACCUCACCAACCAGCUAAUCCGACAUAGGCUCAUCCGAUAGCGCGAGGCCCGAAGGUCCCCCGCUUUCCCCCGUAGGGCGUAUGCGGUAUUAGCCUGGGUUUCCCCAGGUUAUCCCCCACUACCGGGAAGAUUCCUAUGCAUUACUCACCCGUCCGCCGCUCGCCACCAGGGAGCAAGCUCCCCGUGCUGCCGCUCGACUUGCAUGUGUUAGGCCUGCCGCCAGCGUUCAAUCUGAGCCAGAGANAACAACUCUACGACUAGAGGCGGCGUCGACGAAGGCGACAGUAG